rnacentral:rRNA from 1 species
UUCGCAAUGCCCGAAAGGGUGACGAAGCGACGCCGCGUGUGGGAAGAAGGCCUUCGGGUUGUAAACCACUGUCGGGAGUUAAGAAAUGCAAGGAUAUGAAUAGUGUCUUUGCUUGACUAAGGCUCCGGAGGAAGCCACGGCUAACUCUGUGCCAGCAGCCGCGGUAAUACAGAGGCGGCAAGCGUUGUUCGGAAUUAUUGGGCGUAAAGAGCACGUAGGCGGCUAUGUAAGUCGAAGUUGUGAAAGCCUUCCGCUCAACGGGAGAACAGCAUCCGAUACUACAUGGCUUGAGUGCGGGAGGGGAGAGUGGAACUUCUGGUGGAGCGGUGAAAUGCGUAGAUAUCAGAAGGAACGCCGGCGGCGAAAGCGGCUCUCUGGCCCAUAACUGACGCUGAGUGUGCGAAAGCUUUGGAGCAAACGGGAUUAGAUACCCCGGUAGUCCUAGCCGUUAACGAUGGGCACUAAGUAGAGGGGUUUU